UACGGGGGGAGCAAGCGUUGUUCGGAUUUACUGGGCGUAAAGAGCUCGUAGGCGGUUUGUUGCGUCGGCUGUGAAAUCCCGAGGCUCAACCUCGGGUCUGCAGUCGAUACGAGCAAACUAGAGUGUUGCAGGGGAGACUGGAAUUCCUGGUGUAGCGGUGAAAUGCGCAGAUAUCAGGAGGAACACCGGUGGCGAGGGCGGGUCUCUGGGCAACAACUGACGCUGGAGGAGCGAAAGCGUGGGGAGCGAACAGG
rnacentral:rRNA from 1 species